GAAACAAAACACAGAAGCCUCUGGUCUGUGUUCUCUGGGUCAUCCUGCUAUCAAAUGGAAAAAAAAGAAACCUCGACAACCAGUCUUCACGAAUCUCAGUUGGCAAUAAGGGUUUUUCCUUUGGAGAGCAAUUUGCUCCAUGCCCUUAGGACAACUUGGUUCACUCCCUGGUACAGAAUAUCUCCAGCACCAUCCCGAGUGUUGCUAGUCUGUGGCCAAAGGUGCCUCCUUCUGAUAUCGGUUCAGGGCAACGAUGAGCUCUGCUUCCUCAAGGUUCUGAAACUCUCAGCUGCAAGAGGAAAGAAGAAACGCCAAGAGGCCAUGUUUGCCAGGUUUCCCCUGAAAACCUGAAUCUGGAUCUUCUUUACCAUCUUAGGAUGACUCCUUUGCUAAAGGCUCCAUUUGGCCCACGGAUGUGAAUUCCUCUGACCUGGCCAGGCUCUGAGAGUAUUCAACCCUCACCCCCACAGACCACCUCCUCAGGGGAAACUCACGGAUUCUCAAAUAGCUUUGUUCUCAUUCCUGGGGUUCCGUUCCUUUCCCUAACUGCCCCACAGCUGGGAACAAACCCACCGCCUGUUUGUCCCAGAUUCAGAGAACUUUGGUUUCCCUUUUUUCCCAGGGCCUCCACUUUCAGUCUGUCAGUGCUCAGAGGCUGGAUCUGUGCGCUCCCUGGCCAGCCCUAGACCCUUCCUCUUCGGUCUGUUUCCAGUUACUAGCCUACCUUCUUCCAUUCUUCCCUCACAAUGUGUUUUCCAGAUCCACCAGGCAUUUUAGAGACCCCAGGACCACCAGCCCAGGGAUGGCACUGUCCACAGAAAGCUGGCCCCUGACAUAUCAAACAUCAAUCAAGAAAAUGCACCACAGAGGUCCUGAGUUCAAUUCCCAGCAACCACAUGGUGGCUCACAACCAUCUGUAAGCUGCCCCUGUCAGGUCGCCCAACUGCAGUGAUGCAAACUGAAGGACGGCUUGGUUGCUUUGAAGUUCCAGCAAGGUGAAUGGAGCUGCUCUGGCAGUAAACAGGUGAAACCCGGUAAAAACCUGGCAAACCAGGCUUCUGUGUGAACAUAGUUUUCAGAGCAUGUAGGUUAGAAAUUUCAGCAAGUGGUAUUGCUGGAUUGCUCAGUCACACUAUGUUCGGUUUUGUUCAGAAACUGCUGAGCUGGACUGGAGAGACAGCUCAGGGGUUAAGUGUUCCCACUGCUCCCCCAGAGGAUUGAAGUUCUGUUCCCAGCACCCACAUCAGGUGUAACUGCAGCUCCAGAGGAUCCUAUGGCUCAGGCCUCUGAGCCUUUGCAAGCUGGCUCCCAUGCUCAUUCGCUCUCUUCCUCUCUCUCUCUCUCUCUCUCUCUCUCUCUCUCUUCCUCUCUCUCACACACUCACACACACACACACACACACAAACGAUUUUUUAAGAAGAUAGCUAUGGAGAGACACACCUUUAAUCCUAGCACUUCUUGGGAGGCAGACAGAUCUCUGUGAGUUCGAGGCCAGCCUGAUCUACAUGGUGAGUUCCAGGAGGCUACAUAAUGAGACCCUGUCUCAGGAAAAAAAAAAAAAAGACUUCUGACUCACCACAGACACUGUACUGUUCUGUAUUCCCACCAGCCAUUACAUGCGCUCAGUUUGCCCUGUCCUUACCAGCAUUGAACGCUGUCGAUUCUACUAGUGUGCAGUGGCUUCUUAUCAAUGCCCUAACGCACAGUUCCCAAAGGACCCGUGACAAGGGAAACCUUUCCUUGUCUAUUGCCGUCUGCAUAUGGAGUCUGUUCAGCUCUUUGUGAUGGCUUGUCCUUUUAGUUCAGUUUGAAUUUUAUCCUUUUUUUCCCCAAGUCAGGGUCUCACAGUGUAACAUUGAGUUGCUGGGACUUGAUCUGUAGACCAGGCUGACCUCAAACUCACAGAGAACAGCCUGCCUCUGCCUCUGGAGUGCUGGGAUUAAAGGUGUGCACCAUGAUACCUGGAUUACGUUUAUCUUAUUGUGUGUGUGUGAGAGAGAGUGCGUGUGUGGACACAGGCAUCCCCAGUGCAAGUGUGAAGGUCAAAGGCCAAUCUUCUGGAGCUGGCUCUUUCCUUCCCCUUGACUCCAGAAAUCAAGCUCACUUAGUCAAGCUUGCGCAGCAAGCACUUUUGCCCACUGAGUCAUCUCACUGUCCCCUACUUAUUUAUCUUUGAGAUAGAGUCUCUAGGACACAGGCUGGCCUUCAACUCCUGACCUUCCUGCUAGGCUCCACCUAUUUGCCACCGUACUUUGUUUUCAACCAUUUAUUAGAAAUAGAAUCUCACUCUGCAUAGCAGGCUCACCUUGCACCCAAGCCUCUCAAGGGAUAAAAUUAUAGGCAUGUAACCUUUUGCCCAUUUUUAUUUUAUUUAUUGUUGCUGUAUACCUAUACAAUUAUAAUUGUGCUGUAUUGUUUUGAGACAGGAUUUGUCUAGGUGAUCCAGAGUGCCUUGAGACCAUUGUCCUCCCUCAACCUCCCAAGUGCUCGGGUUAUAGGCUUGUACCGCCACUCUCAGAUUCUUGAUAGCCUUACCACGACGAAAUCACCCAGAGUUGCCUUUCCUAGAAAAAGCCUUCUGCUUUCGUUCACAGCUCCUUUUUCCCUGAGAAAUAUAGAAUAUUCCUCUCUUUAAAGGUUUUCUUGCCUCCAGAAUCAAGCAGGGCUCACAGUGACUCACAGAGACUGAAGCAGCCGCCACGGAGCCUGCAAGGGUCUGCACCAGGCCCUGUGCAUACAUGCUGGGGUCCUUUAGCUUGGAGUUUUUGUUGGACUCCUAACACUGGGUGUGGGUGUGGGGGUGUCUCUGACUCUUUUUGCCCCUUUUCCUCCUACUGGGUUACCUUGUCCAGAGUGAUAUGAGGAUGUAUACCUAGUCUUGUUGCAUCUUGUGCGGAGUUCAGGUGCUAACACUGGGAGGCUUUAUUCUCAAGGGGAAUGGGAGAGCAGGGAAUCUAACGGAGAGCAGAGGUGCGGGGUGCAGGGAGGGAGGGGAGGGAAGGGAGGGAGAGGAGGCUGCAGUUGGGAUGUAUUGUAUGAAAAAAAUAUAAUAAAUUAUUUUUUAAUGUUUGAUUGUACGUAUUCAUUCAUUUAGUGUGUGUAUAAUGUGUGUUAGGUAGGAGAUGCCUACAUGCCACAGCACAUGUGUGAAAGUCAGACACAACUUAUAGGAAUCUGUUCUUUCCUUCCACCACGUAGGUCCUGGGCAUUGAGCUGGUCAUCGGGUGGGUGGCAGGAGCCUUUCCCCACUGACCCAUCUCAAGGCCUAGUAUUCCUGUCUUAGAGACCCUUUUACUCUUAGGAUGCCUUUCUUACUCUUCCUAAUAAAGCUAUGUUCACUACACUUUUGUAAGAAAUUGAAAGGUGUAGGUACAUAGAUAAACAUUUACUGAUAAUAAACCACAAAAAAAAUUAUCUUUUAAGAGAGGGUCUUUCCCUGGAAGCCUAGAACUCAUUAUAUAGUUCAGGCUAGUCUCAGACUUUUGGCAAUCCCCUUGCCUCAGCCUCCACAGUGCUGGGUUCAUGGUUACGGGCCUAAGAAAUUCACUUUAGGAGAGACAACUCAGUAGUUAUGAGUACUGGCUAUUCAUCCAGAGGACCUGGAUCCAAUUCCAAGCACUUCAUGGUGACAUACAACUGUCUGUAACUCCAGUUCCAAGGAACCCGAUGCUUUCUCUGGCCUCUCCAGGAACCAGGCAGGCACAUGGUGCACAGACAUGCAUACAAGCAAAACACCCGUAAAUAAUAAAGGAGCAACAAUGAAGCCGCAGAGUGGGACAAUGAGACCAGCCUUUCCUCUCUCUCUCUCUGCCCGGCUUCCGGUGUGGUAGCACUCCUGUCUCAAUGCGCCACCUUCUUUACAGAUUGUUUUAUUUCUGAGUAGAUUUAUCUUUAUCAUGUUGAUUGAUGCUCACUGUCAGCUAGGCAGAUGUAGAAGCUCCUCAGAAACACUUGUAAGGAUGUUUCCAGGAGGAUUAACUGAUGGGGAAAGACCCGGCUUGAAAACCGGUGGCACCAACUCUCAGGCUGAGAUCCCAAACCGAGUAAAAAGGAGAAAGCCAGCAGGUACCAGCAUUCAUCUCUCCCUGUUUCCUGACCGUGCGUGGGUGUGACCAACCGCCUCCGUUCCUGCUACUGUGCGGACACCCGCUCCGGCUGCUGUGCGGGCACCUCCGGCUCCUGCUGCUGUGCCGGCACCUCCGGCUCCUGCUGCUGUGGGACACCUCCGGCUCCUGCUGCUGUGCGGGCACCUCCUGUUCCUGCUGCUGUGGGACACCUCCCGCUCCUGCUGCUGUGCGGGCACC